rnacentral:rRNA from 1 species
UACGGAGGAUCCAAGCGUUAUCCGGAUUUAUUGGGUUUAAAGGGUGCGUAGGCGGCUUAUUAAGUCAGGGGUGAAAGACGGUGGCUCAACCAUCGCAGUGCCCUUGAUACUGAUGAGCUUGAAUACACUAGAGGUAGGCGGAAUGUGACAAGUAGCGGUGAGAUGCAUAGAUAUGUCACAGAACACCGAUUGCGAAGGCAGCUUACUAUGGUGUCAUUGACGCUGAGGCACGAAAGCGUGGGGAUCAAACAGG